rnacentral:piRNA from 1 species
GGAAAUUCUUCUGAAGCUGGCUGA